GAUGAACGCUGGCGGCGUGCUUAACACAUGCAAGUCGAACGGAAAGGCCCUGCUUUUGUGGGGUGCUCGAGUGGCGAACGGGUGAGUAACACGUGUGUAUCAUGCCCUUGACUUUGGGAUAACUUCAGGAAACUGGGGCUAAUACCGGAUAGGAGCUUUUGCGGCAUGGUGGGGGUUGGAAAGUUACGGCGGUUGGGGCUGGACUAGAGGGUUAUCAGCUUGUUAGUGGGGUAGGGGCUUACCAAGGCUUUGACGGGUAGCCGGCCUGAGAGGGUGACCGGCCACAUUGGGACUGAGAUACGGCCCAGACGCCUACGGGAGGCAGCAGUGGGGAAUAUUGCACAAUGAGCGGAAGCCUGAUGCAGCAACGCCGCGUGCGGGAUGACGGCCUUCGGGUUGUAAACCGCUUUCGCCUGUGACGAAGCGUGAGUGACGGUAAUGGGUAAAGAAGCACCGGCUAACUACGUG
rnacentral:rRNA from 1 species